CUCAAGCCCCCGGGCUUGGUGUUGGGGACCGGCCACCGCGGACUCGUCCGCCGGCCGCCCCCUAAAUCCAUUGGCGGUCACGCCGCGGCUUCCUCUGCGUAGUAGCACACCUCGCAGCCGGAUCGCGGCGCGGCCACGCCGUAAAACCCCAACUCUGAAAUGUUGACCUCGGAUCAGGUAGGAAUACCCGCUGAACUUAA
rnacentral:misc_RNA from 1 species